UACGUAGGGGGCAAGCGUUUGUCCGGAAUUAUUGGGCGUAAAGAGCUUGUAGGCGGUUUGUCGCGUCUGCUGUGAAAUUUCGGGGCUCAACCCCGAACUUGCAGUGGGUACGGGCAGACUAGAGUGUGGUAGGGGGAGACUGGAAUUCCUGGUGAUAGCGGUGAAAUGCGCAGAUAUCAGGAGGAACACCGGUGGCGAAGGCGGCUACCUGGACAGAGUCUGACGCUGGAGGCACGAAAGCUAGGGGAGCAAACAGG
rnacentral:rRNA from 1 species